ensembl:snRNA Rnu6-212 RNA, U6 small nuclear 212
GUGCUCGCUUCUGCAGCACAUAUACUAAAAUCAGAACGAUACAGAGAAGAUUAGCAUGGCCCCUCCUCGAGGAUGACACGCAAAACUGCCUUCUAAAUAUUU